rnacentral:rRNA from 1 species
UACGUAGGGGGCUAGCGUUGUCCGGAUUUAUUGGGCGUAAAGAGCGUGUAGGCGGCCAGGUAGGUCUGCUGUGAAAACUCGAGGCUCAACCUCGAGACGUCGGCGGAAACCAUCUGGCUAGAGUCCGGAAGAGGAGAGUGGAAUUCCUGGUGUAGCGGUGAAAUGCGCAGAUAUCAGGAAGAACACCCGUGGCGAAGGCGGCUCUCUGGGACGGUACUGACGCUGAGACGCGAAAGCGCGGGGAGCGAACAGG